CUGUAUUCCAGAUCCCUAAAUGCCCAGACAUGCGUUCACGGGAGCUGGGAAGCUCUAAGCAAGCCUCCGGACCUCAGCAAACAAGUGCCAGGACUGUAUCUGUCCACCGGCAGCUUUUAGAUGGAGUGAGAAGGAGUUUUCUCCAGUGGUUAAGUCCUAAUCUGCCUAAUUGGGAAAGUCCUGAUGACCUUCAGUACCAAGUGGCCAUGGUCUGCAUGUCCAUGGUCUUCCACAGUUCCUGGCCUGUGGAACAUCUCCAUGGAGAAGACCUGUGACCCCUCUAUUGUCAAUGCUCAACCCUUUGGCUGAUGAAGCUGACGAUCCCAGUCGAC
ensembl:lncRNA